GGGUUGUGAGGUUAAGCGACUAAGCGUACACGGUGGAUGCCCUGGCAGUCAGAGGCGAUGAAGGACGUGCUAAUCUGCGAAAAGCGCCGGCGAG
rnacentral:rRNA from 1 species